UAGUCGAGCCAGCGCGUAGCUGAACUAUCUUCUUACUUGGACUAUCUCAAUAAUAAAUACGAAGGCCAGGGUGUUUUGAAAGUAGAAUACUCCCCGUCAUCAAAUAAGUUCAAC